rnacentral:lncRNA from 1 species
UUUGAGUGGUGAAGUCGCUUGUCGAGUUGAUUUCUCAUGAAUCUGCUUAUCCGUUGCGACCUUCACAAUAUGUUUAGCCGGUUGGGUUGAUCUCUUCACCCUUAUCACUGUCUUUGCCGUCUCCAUCUCCGUCUUCCACGUCCUCAUCUCCGUCUUAGCCGGUUGAGAUGCAGUAUCACCAUUGGCUCUUCCAUCACGAGUGUUCAUCUUUGUCUUCCACGUCUCCAUCUUCUGAC